CGCUGGCGGCGUGCUUAACACAUGCAAGUCGAACGGGGAUAGUGACGGAAAGCUUCGGCCGGAAGACAUUAUUCGAGUGGCGGACGGGUGAGUAACGCGUGAGCAAUCUGUCCCGGACAGGGGGAUAACACUUGGAAACAGGUGCUAAUACCGCAUAAGACCACGGUGUCGCAUGGCACAGGGGUAAAAGGAGCGAUCCGGUUUGGGGUGAGCUCGCGUCCGAUUAGCCAGUUGGCGGGGUAACGGCCCACCAAAGCGACGAUCGGUAGCCGACCUGAGAGGGUGAUCGGCCACAUUGGAACUGAGAGACGGUCCAAACUCCUACGGGAGGCAGCAGUGGGGAAUAUUGGGCAAUGGGCGAAAGCCUGAACCCCCAGCAACGCCGCGUGAGUGAAGAAGGCCUUCGGGCUGUAAAGCUCUGUUACAGGUGACGAAGGAAGUGACGGUAACUUGUAAGGAAGCCCCGGCUAACUACGUGCCAGCAGCGGC
rnacentral:rRNA from 1 species